rnacentral:misc_RNA from 1 species
GGACAGUCUCCUUUACGUGCUUUCUUUCUUUAUCUCCCUCUCUGGAUACGCACGGCACCUGCCUUGUCCUCCACCACACACACGCCCCCGCUCCUGCAGCGAAAAAAAAGGGCAGUCUUGUAGAGCCUUUGCUUUGUUGUUAGUGUGCGUGCGUGCGUGUGUCUGCAAGCGCAAGCCUCCGUAGCCGUUUUUCAGUGGACUCACGCUUCCACCCGACUCGUGCUCACCACCGCGUACCCAGCAUGCACACACUUGCAUACUUACACACGAGCAGAGACAGGCGAGUCGCUAGAUGAGCCAACUCGUUCCAUCCGUCGCGCACGGCGUGCUCACGGACGAAGAGUACGAACAAUGCAUGCGGCACUACGUCACCGGGUCGGCUUCGCGAACGUGGAUCGCUGCCGGUGACACGGCGCCUGAUCUUGUCUGGAGCAACAGCGAGGAGACGGCGCGCACGAGACGAAAAGCGGCUUCCUCGAAGGCCCUGAGAGCAUGCAGCAACCCCGAGCUGGGCGAUGAGGUGCUUGCGCUGCUUCCCUCUAACACGCGGUACCGCGACCAGUUCCUGAAGCUGGCCCCUGUUCCCACUUCAGUUCCCACCGCUGCUGCGCAUGGGGCGGUGGAUCGAGCAGGGGAGAAGGAACACGUGCUGAUUUCUGAAGAUGAGCAGGACGACCAUGGCAGAAGAAUGCUGUUGUUGUCUCCGUCCGCGUCGCAGCAGCAGCGAGACGUCACGCAUCUGCCCACUAAAAAACGUGCGACAUCAUCGUCUCCGUCCUCUCGCCGCGGCGGCGCAGGGGCUGGCAGCAGCCCGGCAUCCCGGGCCUCUCAACGCCAGAGCACAGGCAAUAGUGUAGUGAUUGUGAGCCAGCCGUCCGCGAAGAUCACGGAGCGCAGUCCUGUCAAGGCAAGUGCGCCAAAGGGCCGGCCUGGAAAGCUCACAUCCUCCUCUCAGGGGCGCGAUGACGACGCCGACGCCCGUGCCGAGGUCGGGACGAAACGCCAGCGCUUGAUGGAGGAGUUUCUCUAUCGCGGGGAGUAAGACGCUGCCGGCUGAGCAGCUCGUCGCGUAUCUGAGCUGUGCUCGGGUGCAUAUGCCGCACAGCUGGCUUCUCUCUGCCGUUGACUUUCCCCUUCUCCACACUACGCCACUUGUUCGCCGGUUGUGUCUCAGCGUGUCUGCAUAUGCGCGCGUGCGUGCGGGCUAUCCACAAUUCGCUUUCCUUCACGUUGCACCCUCCCUCUGUGUCCUUCGUGUUAGCGCGCAUCAUCAUCAUCUCUGCGUUGCUGUUGCCUCCCUCCUCAUUUUCUUUCGCAUGUCCUUUGCGGAUUCCCGUGUCCUUGUGCGCGUGCGUACAUGCACGGCGUCAGCGCAGUGUGUGCGCCACAGC